CUGUGACGUCACAAUGGGGCUCUGUGACAUCACAAUGGAGUCUGUGACGUCAGAAUGGGGCACUGUGAUUCCAUCAUGGCAACUCUGGGACGUCACAUUGGGGUUCUGUGACGUCACAAUGGAGCGCUGUGAUUCCAUCAUGGGGCUCAGUGACGUCACAAAGGGGCUCUGUGACAUCACAAUGGGCUCUGUGACAUCACAAUGGAGCAUUGUGAUUUCAUAAUCGGGCCCUGUGACAUCACAAUGGAGCAUUGUGAUACCAUCAUGGCGACUCUGUGACGUCACAAUGGGGCUCUGUGAUGUCACAAAGGGGCUCUGUGACAUCACAAUGUGCUCUGUGACACACAAUGGGCAUUGUGAUUUCAAAUCGGGCCUGUGACAUCACAAUGGAGCAUUGUGAUACCAUCAUGGCGACUCUGUGACUUCACAAUGGGGCUCUGUGACGUCACAAUGGGGUCCUGUGACGUCACAAUGGAGCAUUGUGAUUUCAUCGUGGGGUUCUGUGACUUCACAAUGGGGCUCUGUGACGUCACAAUGGGGUCUGUGAUGUCACAAUGGAGCAUUGUGAUUCCAUCAUGGGGCUCUGUGACGUUACAAUGGGGCUCUGUGACGUCACAAUGGGGCUCUGUGACGUCACAAUGGGGCAUUGUGAUUCCAUACUGGGGCUUUGUGAUGUCACAAUGGGCUCUGUGACGUCACAGUGGGGCAUUGUGAUUCCAUCAUGGGGCUCUGUGAUGUCACAAUUGUCUCUGUGGCCUCGGAAUUGGGAAAAACUUCUUUCAAAACGGUAUUUUGUGACGUAACAAUAGGACUCUGUGACGUCUCAAAGCGAGUCUGCGUUGUCAAAGUAAGGCUGUUUGACCUCCCAGAUGAUCUCAGGUGACACAAUGAGGAUUUCUGGGGCGUCCAAAUGUGCUCAGUCACGUAUGAACGGGUGUGACGGAGUUACCUAGAUAGAUCUGUGCCCGUGAUAGGGGGGCAGUAGGCUUGCGGGCCCCCUACCCCCCGGCUUCCGGAAAAAAACGGAGCAGCGGCAACGAUCUAAGAAGGAGAACUUGGUUUUCUAACUGUGAUGUGGGAAUGCAGGAUGACACGAUAGAAUACAAUAUAACUGGGAGAAAGGAUAAUAAAUCAAAUGAAAUGAUUGAGGGCGAAAGAGCGAUAGAGGGAGAGAGAGAGAGAGGAAGAGUGAGAGAGUUUCCGAAACCGAAAGCCGUACCUGAUGAAGGCACACGGCUUGGAAGCACACCCACUCCUCUCCGGGUAGCAAGUGAAAGUGUCGUCACAAUGGAGCUUUAUGAUUCCAUGAUGAAGCUCUAUGACGUCACAAUGGGGCUCUGAGGCCUCCGAAUGAAGUGCAC
rnacentral:lncRNA from 7 species